rnacentral:rRNA from 1 species
UACAGAGGGUGCAAGCGUUGUUCGGAAUUACUGGGCGUAAAGGGCGCGUAGGCGGCCUGCUAAGUCGCACGUGAAAUCCCUGGGCUCAACCCAGGAACUGCGUCCGAUACUGGUUGGCUUGAAUUCGGGAGAGGGAUGUGGAAUUCCAGGUGUAGCGGUGAAAUGCGUAGAUAUCUGGAGGAACACCGGUGGCGAAGGCGGCAUCCUGGACCGAUAUUGACGCUGAGACGCGAAAGCGUGGGGAGCAAACAGG